GACGGGGGGGGCAAGUGUUCUUCGGAAUGACUGGGCGUAAAGGGCACGUAGGCGGUGAAUCGGGUUGAAAGUGAAAGUCGCCAAAAAGUGGCGGAAUGCUCUCGAAACCAAUUCACUUGAGUGAGACAGAGGAGAGUGGAAUUUCAUGUGUAGGGGUGAAAUCCGUAGAUCUACGAAGGAAUGCCAAAAGCGAAGGCAGCUCUCUGGGUCCCUACAGACGCUGGGGUGCGAAAGCAUGGGGAGCGAACAGG
rnacentral:rRNA from 1 species